AGCCAAUGCACCGGCCAAAAAGAAAGAAAAAAGAAAAAAAAAAAAAAAAAGGAAAACUAGAGUAAGGGAGGAAGAGGUAGGUAGGUAGGCUGAGUAAUAAGAAGGUGAGAGUAAAGGAAGGUGGUAAAAAUAAUCAGUAAAAUGAUAUUAGUAGAUAGAAGGAUGAUUAUGAAUAGAAGGAAAAGUUGGUUAUAGAAGGAUGAAAGACGAAUUACUAUUGUUGAAAAAGACGAAUUACUAGUUGUUUUGUUUGGUCUUUAUUAAAUGAAUUACUUAGUUUGUUUUGGUUAACUUUUUUUUUAAUUUUUUUUUUUUAGUUAUUCAUAGAAAGACGAGGGAAGGACGAGUUUUAUGUGCAUCAAAUGUGUUUUGUUAGUAAUGUUUUUGUUUGUGCUGUUUUUGUUGUCUUUUGCCGACUGACCAUUUCCUUCCACCAACUUUUUGCGUAGUGAAUGGACUGUGCCUUGUUGUCUGUAUCGCUCGAUCAUAUUGUUCAAUCAUGUUACUCGGCAAAUUUUCUUCUUACAAGCUAGUCAUGUUUGCUGUGGAAUGAGAUGGAGGGCAGCAUGUUGCGUGCAGCGUUAGACAGGCAGGCGAGAAGAAUAAGCAGAAGCAUGGGAUAGAGAGUGUUAGCGGAGUACAACAGCAAUGAGUGUACAAGGUCUCUCUCAAUAAAAAGAUUGUUCAGCACUCACACUAUAGCAAGAUCAUUAGUAAUACUAAAACAACGUAUAUAACUAUUCAUUCAACAAAUAAAACUAUUCAUAUAACAAAUAAAACCAUUCAAUAAAUAAAAUUAUUCAUUCAAUAAAUGCUAUU